rnacentral:rRNA from 1 species
GUGGAUUAGAUACCCCGGUAGUCCACGCCAUAAACGAUGGGCACUAGGUGUCGCGGGUAUUGACCCCUGCGGUGCCACAGCUAACGCAUUAAGUGCCCCGCCUGGGGAUUACGGCCGCAAGGUUAAAACUCAAAGGAAUUGACGGGGGCCCGCACAAGCGGUGGAGCAUGUGGUUCAAUUCGACGCAACGCGAAGAACCUUACCUGGGCUAGACAACAUCGGACAGUCUCAGAGAUGAGAUCUUCCCUUCGGGGACCGGUGGUUCAGGUGCUGCACGGCUGUCGUCAACU